UACGGUGGGGGCAAGCGUUGUUCGGAAUUACUGGGCGUAAAGGGCUCGUAGGCGGCCAACUAAGUCGGACGUGAAAUCCCCAGGCUCAACCUGGGAACUGCGUCUGAUACUGGAUGGCUUGAAUCCGGGAGAGGGAUGCAGAAUUCCAGGUGUAGCGGUGAAAUGCGUAGAUAUCUGGAGGAAUACCGGUGGCGAAGGCGGCAUCCUGGACCGGCAUUGACGCUGAGGAGCGAAAGCCAGGGGAGCAAACGGG
rnacentral:rRNA from 1 species